GCCUUCGUGGUGUAACGGUAGCACACUCGGCGCGUAUUCGAGAGGUCCAGGUUCGAAUCCCAACGAGGCCA
rnacentral:tRNA from 1 species